rnacentral:rRNA from 1 species
GCUAAUACCGCAUACGUCCUACGGGAGAAAGCAGGGGACCUUCGGGCCUUGCGCUAUCAGAUGAGCCUAGGUCGGAUUAGCUAGUUGGUGGGGUAAUGGCUCACCAAGGCGACGAUCCGUAACUGGUCUGAGAGGAUGAUCAGUCACACUGGAACUGAGACACGGUCCAGACUCCUACGGGAGGCAGCAGUGGGGAAUAUUGGACAAUGGGCGAAAGCCUGAUCCAGCCAUGCCGCGUGUGUGAAGAAGGUCUUCGGAUUGUAAAGCACUUUAAGUUGGGAGGAAGGGCAGUAAGUUAAUACCUUGCUGUUUUGACGUUACCGACAGAAUAAGCACCGGCUAACUCUGUGCCAGCAGCCGCGGUAAUACAGAGGGUGCAAGCGUUAAUCGGAAUUACUGGGCGUAAAGCGCGCGUAGGUGGUUCGUUAAGUUGGAUGUGAAAGCCCCGGGCUCAACCUGGGAACUGCAUCCAAAACUGGCGAGCUAGAGUACGGUAGAGGGUGGUGGAAUUUCCUGUGUAGCGGUGAAAUGCGUAGAUAUAGGAAGGAA